rnacentral:rRNA from 1 species
GUGUGACUGCGUACCUUUUGUAUAAUGGGUCAGCGACUUAUAUUCUGUAGCAAGGUUAACCGAAUAGGGGAGCCGAAGGGAAACCGAGUCUUAACUGGGCGUUAAGUUGCAGGGUAUAGACCCGAAACCCGGUGAUCUAGCCAUGGGCAGGUUGAAGGUUGGGUAACACUAACUGGAGGACCGAACCGACUAAUGUUGAAAAAUUAGCGGAUGACUUGUGGCUGGGGGUGAAAGGCCAAUCAAACCGGGAGAUAGCUGGUUCUCCCCGAAAGCUAUUUAGGUAGCGCCUCGUGAAUUCAUCUCCGGGGGUAGAGCACUGUUUCGGCAAGGGGGUCAUCCCGACUUACCAACCCGAUGCAAACUGCGAAUACCGGAGAAUGUUAUCACGGGAGACACACGGCGGGUGCUAACGUCCGUCGUGAAGAGGGAAACAACCCAGACCGCCAGCUAAGGUCCCAAAGUCAUGGUUAAGUGGGAAACGAUGUGGGAAGGCCCAGACAGCCAGGAUGUUGGCUUAGAAGCAGCCAUCAUUUAAAGAAAGCGUAAUAGCUCACUGGUCGAGUCGGCCUGCGCGGAAGAUGUAACGGGGCUAAACCAUGCACCGAAGCUGCGGCAGCGACGCUUAUGCGUUGUUGGGUAGGGGAGCGUUCUGUAAGCCUGUGAAGGUGUGCUGUGAGGCAUGCUGGAGGUAUCAGAAGUGCGAAUGCUGACAUAAGUAACGAUAAAGCGGGUGAAAAGCCCGCUCGCCGGAAGACCAAGGGUUCCUGUCCAACGUUAAUCGGGGCAGGGUGAGUCGACCCCUAAGGCGAGGCCGAAAGGCGUAGUCGAUGGGAAACAGGUUAAUAUUCCUGUACUUGGUGUUACUGCGAAGGGGGGACGGAGAAGGCUAUGUUGGCCGGGCGACGGUUGUCCCGGUUUAAGCGUGUAGGCUGGUUUUCCAGGCAAAUCCGGAAAAUCAAGGCUGAGGCGUGAUGACGAGGCACUACGGUGCUGAAGCAACAAAUGCCCUGCUUCCAGGAAAAGCCUCUAAGCAUCAGGUAACAUCAAAUCGUACCCCAAACCGACACAGGUGGUCAGGUAGAGAAUACCAAGGCGCUUGAGAGAACUCGGGUGAAGGAACUAGGCAAAAUGGUGCCGUAACUUCGGGAGAAGGCACGCUGAUAUGUAGGUGAAGUCCCUCGCGGAUGGAGCUGAAAUCAGUCGAAGAUACCAGCUGGCUGCAACUGUUUAUUAAAAACACAGCACUGUGCAAACACGAAAGUGGACGUAUACGGUGUGACGCCUGCCCGGUGCCGGAAGGUUAAUUGAUGGGGUCAGCGCAAGCGAAGCUCUUGAUCGAAGCCCCGGUAAACGGCGGCCGUAACUAUAACGGUCCUAAGGUAGCGAAAUUCCUUGUCGGGUAAGUUCCGACCUGCACGAAUGGCGUAAUGAUGGCCAGGCUGUCUCCACCCGAGACUCAGUGAAAUUGAACUCGCUGUGAAGAUGCAGUGUACCCGCGGCAAGACGGAAAGACCCCGUGAACCUUUACUAUAGCUUGACACUGAACAUUGAGCCUUGAUGUGUAGGAUAGGUGGGAGGCUUUGAAGUGUGGACGCCAGUCUGCAUGGAGCCGACCUUGAAAUACCACCCUUUAAUGUUUGAUGUUCUAACGU